GACGAACCGUGCGAACGUUGUUCGGAAUCACUGGGCUUAAAGGGCGCGUAGGCGGGCCGCAUAGCCAAGGGUGAAAUCCUCCGGCUCAACCGGAGAAGGGCCUUUGGUACUGGCGGCCUCGAGGGGUGCAGGGGCGUGCGGAACUCAGGGUGGAGCGGUGAAAUGCGUAGAUAUCCUGAGGAACACCGGUGGCGAAGGCGGCACGCUGGACACCUUCUGACGCUGAGGCGCGAAAGCCAGGGGAGCAAACGGG
rnacentral:rRNA from 1 species